CAUGUGGUUUAAUUCGAUGCAACGCGAAGAACCUUACCUGGUCUUGACAUCCACAGAACUUUCCAGAGAUGGAUUGGUGCCUUCGGGAACUGUGAGACAGGUGCUGCAUGGCUGUCGUCAGCUCGUGUUGUGAAAUGUUGGGUUAAGUCCCGCAACGAGCGCAACCCUUAUCCUUUGUUGCCAGCGGUUAGGCCGGGAACUCAAAGGAGACUGCCAGUGAUAAACUGGAGGAAGGUGGGGAUGACGUCAAGUCAUCAUGGCCCUUACGACCAGGGCUACACACGUGCUACAAUGGCAUAUACAAAGAGAAGCGACCUCGCGAGAGCAAGCGGACCUCAUAAAGUAUGUCGUAGUCCGGAUUGGAGUCUGCAACUCGACUCCAUGAAGUCGGAAUCGCUAGUAAUCGUAGAUCAGAAUGCUACGGUGAAUACGUUCCCGGGCCUUGUACACACCGCCCGUCACACCAUGGGAGUGGGUUGCAAAAGAAGUAGGUAGCUUAACCUUCGGGAGGGCGCUUACCACUUUGUGAUUCAUGACUGGGGUGAAGUCGUAACAAGGUAACCGUAGGGGAACCUGCGGUUGGAUCACCUCCUUA
rnacentral:rRNA from 1 species